CCCCCGGUUUGCUUCCGGCAAUACCGUAACUAGAUUUUCAUGUGUUGUGUGCAAAAAUUUAUUUUUUAGAUUCCUUCAUUUUUUUGUAGAUUUCUGGUAAAAAUUUUUCUCGUAUCAUGAUAUAUAAAAAAAUAUAUUCUAAAUUUAACUAUUUCUCUACAAACCUAGGUAAUUCAUAUCCAAUCGAAUUCUAUGGAGAUUUUUCAAAAAUUCUUAAAGCUUCCCACUUCUUAUCCUUUUUUAAAAAAAUCUUCAUAGGGAGGAAAAGCUUUGUGCGAUAGGGUAACCGAAAUCAUCAUUUUUCUACAAGCAGUACUGAGUUUUGUGUCAGACACCAGAGACUCAGAAUUGUAGACAAUGGCCACACAUGUUUUCUACUGAAAGGAUUUUUAUAAAAAUUUGUAUACGGGGAAAGGUGGCAAAACAGGGUAACUGAGUAAAACAUAGUAUCCCCGGUAUUGCGAAUGCAGGAAUCACAAUCGAAUAUACGUUAAAUUCUGGCUUCUCGGUCGUUGCCCAUGUACCAGCGAAGUAGACUGCUACGUAAUUAAGUUAGAUCAUAAUUUAUAUAUUUUUGGCGAUUUUCUUAUGAUUUUAUCUCAUUUUUUCACUUGUGAUAUUAUUAUUAAAUUAUAUAGUGGUUCUCUUGUGAAUGCAUGUGUUUUUUCGAUAAAAUUUAAUAGGUUGUAAUAUACAACAAAUGUUAUUUUCUACUUUUGUAAACAGUGUUUGGAAAAUUAUUGAUACCAUUUUCAUUAGACGAGACAAGAUGAUGGUAGAAGAAAGUAAAGUAAUACUAUGUGCAGUAUAAGUAUGCAAAUUUUAUCUGGCACUUGAUCAGAGCCACUCAUAUAGCACAAUUUUUCUCUUCAAAUAGCUGAUUAAUGAUGUGGAUAAUUGGGUGGCACUUGGACAAACCUAUGUCUAAUAAUCUCACUUAUAAUAAAUAUCAUUUCGUUGGCAAAUGGGUUGAAAGGAAAGCUUGUCUGCUAAAAAAAAUUAAUCGUUUGUAAUAUACAAAACAACACAAUCAAGAUAAAAUGUAUAAAUCGACAAAAAAACAUUAAUCCUUCGACUAUAUACAUGAAUCUGAGAUAUUCGAUACAGUAGGUCUAUUCGGAUUUGUGCUUCAAACACAUAGAACAUGGGAAAAUAUUACCCCACCCAUGGGCCAAGAUAGGAAGAAAUACCUUUUCUAAAUUUUUUAAAAAUAAAGUUUACAAUUCUCAGAUGGUUUUAUUGAACGAUAGUUAUAUUGUAAAACUUAUAUCUAAAGAAUAUUUAAGAAAUAAAAAUGAUUCAUUGAUUACAAAAA